UCUUGGUCAUCACUAGUACUGUUUACUGCUUUGAUGAGUUCUCGAUUAUGACCUAAUGAAUUAUACCUUCAACAAAUUUGGAGUUGACUACUUGUGUCUUUAGUCGAUGGUAUUCCCUACUUUUUGUUAUGUUCCUCGAUAACUUUUCAAUUUUAAUUCUUGCAGAGACCAUUAGUGAAUACACCUAAUUUAUGAUUGUAAGGUCGAUGUGGGUAUUUUUCCAUAGUUCAUACUUGUUGGCUCAAGUUUUGGAGUUUGACUCUUGUGAAUGACAACUUAGAAGUUGUACUAGAAUUUGG
rnacentral:lncRNA from 1 species